rnacentral:lncRNA from 1 species
CCACGCGCCCCUCCCCCGGUCGGCUCCCGGUCGCUGUCAAAGCCGAGGGACGACGAGGAGGUCGCUGGGGCCCCGGGGAGGCUGUGGUCCUCUGCCCCGUCCGCCGUGGAGGAGGAGGAGGAGGAGGAGGAAGAGAAGACAGAAGAGCGGCGCCCCGAGUCCGGGAAAGCGGGGCUGUCCCGGGGGGUGGAGGCCCGGGGGAGAGCAGGGUUGUCCUGCAGGGUCGUGGCCUGGGUGCUGCCCCGCUGUGCGCCCCUGGCUAGGGCGCUCACCUUCAGCUGCCACCCGCUGUCCCCAGCGGCCACUCGGCCGGUGCCUUCCAUCCUGAGCCCUCGCCUGGCUUCCAGUGACAGGGAGAGUCGGUGCGGAGUGCCCGGGCUGCCCUGGAGGGACAGUGGGGCCCCGGCAGCGGGGACCGUGGGCCCCUCUACCUCUGCUGCCACCUCCCAGGAUUUCAGCCCCGGUGUGGCAGCCGUGGCCAGACCGAGGGACCUGGCGGCAGAGGGGCUCUGAGGCCGGGGGGCUGCGGCUCCGGCUGAGACCGCGGCCAGCGUCCUGCAGCUGAGCUGUCCUAUCCAGCAGCUGACCUGGCACCGUGCUCGGCUGGGGACAAGAGUGCCAUCAGCCCCGGAAGCAGCAGCAUCCGCCCGCAGGGAAGAACAAGGAACAUGCUUACCCUUCAUAAGUACAGUGCGGCUUGGAGGGAGAUUCAGAGAGGAAACGGGAGCUGCUGGCAUGCCCCUCGGGAGCGGAGCCAGGAGCCCAGCUCCUGGGCCCAAGGCCACAUCACUGCAGAUGAGCCAAUGGCUGUGCCUGAGUCUGCCAGCACCCACGGCGGGGGUCCACGCUGGCCACCCUCCGAGCAGUGCCUGGGCACAUGCCUUGAAAACAUGGUCUAAGGAAAGAUGGAGACAACGGGUCCAGGGACGGGCACAAAGCCAAGCUCAAGGUGGAGAGCAAUAGAAGAAAAAGAAGAAGCUGCACCAAAACUUAGUUUCCUGUGGAUAAUAAUUACAUGUAUGGUUUAUAUAGUGUUCACUGUGUCCUAGGAGCUACUCCAAACACUUUUUGAUGUAUGUAUUUUAUUUAAUUCUCAUAAAAACCUGACAAGUUAAGUUUGAUUAUUGUACUGAUUUUACAGAUGGGAAACUGAGGCACAGAAAUGAUAGGAAAUUGUGCAGCAGAAUUCAAACCCAGGCAGUCUGGCUGCAGAGCUGGCAUCUUAACCAGGAUGCUACACCAUCAGGCUGACUUCUGCACUGUCAUACUCAUGGGGCACCCAGACCAUCAGUUGGAAGGACUGACUUAGCCACUAUGUGACCACAAAUUAACUUUGAGAUGUUUUUCAUGCAAUCAACCUG